UGUGAAUUCACUUAUAUAAGGCACUGUGAUAGAUGCUGGGAUUCAGCAGUGUCACCACCCUCCUGGAGAAGCAGCACAAGCUCAACUGUAGAAAGAGAUAAGGGUCUAACUACGUUGCCCAGGC